GGAAUUACUGGAGUACUUCAGAAGGAAAGACCCGGCGAAUCAACCCGGUUUGAGGAAAGCAAUCGGAGUGCCAGAGUUUGACCAAUAUUUUAAGAAUCACCCACCGGGGACAGGAGGAAGGGAGUGGGGUGAGGUACGGCGAGGAGCAUACGAGGAAGCAGUAAGAGAGAUAAAAGAGAACACGUGUCAACUGGCGAAAAGACAGAUAGGGAAGAUCAUGAGAUUAAAAGGGACAGGGUGGG
rnacentral:misc_RNA from 1 species